CAGAGGGUGAUCUGGCUGCCACAUCUGCUACCAUUGAUCGCCAGGGUUGAUUGGUUCAUCUGGCUGGCUAGGCGGGUGUCCCCUUCCUCCCUCCCUCACUGCUCCCUCCCGAAGCUGCGUGCUCAGUAGAAGAGGAUGGCCUUCCCCAAAUAGAGGAGGACCUGUCUUGGGUCAAGGGUAUACAAGUAACUGCAUUCUCCUGCAGAACCUCCAAACAAGCUCUCAAAGUCUCUGUUCAUAAGGGCUGUGCGAUUCACUCUUUAAUUUAGCAUGGAUUCACUCAGGACCUAGUGUU
rfam:Mesocricetus auratus contig041646, whole genome shotgun sequence.